GACGAACGCUGGCGGCGUGCUUAACACAUGCAAGUCGAACGAAGUGGCGAACGGGUGAGUAACGCGUAAUCAACCUGCCCUUCAGAGGGGGACAACAGUUGGAAACGACUGCUAAUACCGCAUACUGAAGGAGGGGAUUGCGUCUGAUUAGCUAGGUGGGGGGGUAACGGCCCACCAAGGCGAUGAUCAGUAGCCGGUCUGAGAGGUGGAACGGCCAACUUGGGCAUGGAACACGGCCCAGAAUCCUACGGGAGGCAGCAGUGGGGAAUCUUCCGCAAUGGACGAAAGUCUGACGGAGCAACGCCGCGUGAGGGAUGACGGCCUUCGGGUUGUAAAGCUCCGUUAAUCGGGACGCGGUACCGGAAUAGAAAGCCACGGCUAACUCCGUGCCAGCAGCCGCGGUAAUAC
rnacentral:rRNA from 1 species